GCUGAGGAGGAGGGGGGUCCCUGGGUGCUGGUUGCCUUCUCAUUGGGGUGCCCAUCUCCCUUUCCUACCGGCGCUUGUUGAACUACAAUAACGUCAGGGUAGAGCAGCAAUCGCCAGGGGGAGGCCGGUUAAAUAUAGGAGACUUAAUUAGUACAGUCGUUAGUUAUUCAUGCGGGUUCAGACUCGUGUUUCCACAGGCAUACAACUCCCAGCAUGCUUUGUAGUCCGGGAAUAGGAGGACCCAGGGCUUCAUACUAAUUGUGGGAGAGAAGCAAACGGACUCCUCUGUCCCCCUGUUGGUCAUAACCCAGUUUAUAUAUAUAUAUGUAUAUAUACACAUAUAUACAAUAUCCCCAGCUUUAUUAACCAUAUUCCUAAGAAGCUGUUCUUCCUUCCUUUGCUGCUAUUUAAAUCUCCCCUCCUCCAGUUCCCAUGGAUUGGCUGCCAUAGGCCUGUCUCUUUCCCUGAUUGGCCGCACCAACUGCCUCUCCUUCCCCCCUCAGUGUCUGACCCCAGGGAGGCAGUUUGUUACCAGACGUUUGAUCAGGAAUAGUUGACCUUUACCCCUUCCCUGGUCGGAAAACGAGAAAUCCCAGCGUCCCUCUGCCCGUGGCACUGGGGGGAUCCUGGGAGUCACUGUCAUUUCCCAGUAUUUAUUUAUUUAUUUGUUACAUGUUCCACUGGUUUCUAUGGACACACUGGGGCUCAUUCAUCAACCCCGGGCACGUGGGCAGUAACCCAUAGCAACCAAUCAGGGGUUGGCUUUUUUUUUCCCAGCUGCAGGGGGAUCAAUGAAUGUAGCCAAGACUCCAUUUCCCACAAUGCUUUGCACACACCUGCUAUUCUCUCAGUCUCAGGUCUGUACACAUGCAUUUAAUUGCCCCAUUAGCCUUAGGCAACAGCAGUGGCCCCUCCUGUCUCUGGUUCUGACCCCCACCCUGCAACCGACACCUUUUGUUAUUCAGAGGGUCCCUGUAACCAAGGAUUAGACUCCUGUCCAAUCACAGGGCGCAAGUCCAUCAAGUUCAGCCCAUUGGUCACAUUUCAUUCAUAAACAAAUAGCCAGUCCCCUGCAUAACACAAGGGCACCCGGGGCCCCAAUCCUGGGGGUUAUUGCAACGUCUGCUCCUGUACUGAUAUCCUGCAGAAAGAGCCCCGGCUGUGUGACUGCGCUAUCAGGAGACAGGACUUGGCUAUGGCUUCCAUCCAUCACACCUUCAUUAUCAACUGCCACACUGGGACGCGCGUUUGCCUUACUGGAGACCCCCGUCCCAUCCCGCUGAGCAGCCGAACCCCCCCCGGCCGGGCGCCCAGUACCAGAGAGCGGCUGCGCACCUGCUUUACCCACUGUAUAAAUAACCAGAGCACUACGGACCAGUCCCGCCCACACUCGGGCACAUCUCCCAAAGUGAAGGAUUGUGGGAAACCUGUGGCCCCCAACAGUAAGCGCCGACCCUCCCUCCAACCGACCGACGGGAAACACGAUGGCGGCCGGAUCUGCCUGUACAAAGCCCUUCAGGACUCAGUAAAGCAGUUGCUGCGCAGUGUGGCUUCCUGCCUCCGUACCCAGAAGCCCUAGCUGGCCGGGUUGGCCAACACCCUUGGUGCUGAGAAUAAGCCCUACCUGCCAUACCGGGGACAGUACUGUCAUUGUGCGCAACUUGUAGCCUUUAGCUUUGGCCAGUAGCCCAGCAAUGCAUUAGCCACAGCGGCCAUUGUCACUUUAGCAUGUUUAGCUCAGUGUCCCCGGGGCCCUGUGUCUGCUCAGGGGUUAAUAUAUUGUAUAUAUCUUCUGCAUUGAUCCUGGGGUCUGUAUGGGGGGUCAGUACUGACCCAUGUACAUAAAGCUGAUGCACUGGACUUUAAUAGUCACUGAUACCAGAACCGACCCAGCGUCAUGUGACUACAAACAGGGAGUGUUGGGUUACUGCUGGCCGGCAAAGGAUCAUGGGAUAUAUAGUUUAGAUACAGCCAUAAUCUAUAAUAAUUGCAGGUGUGUAAUCAGGUGCCCCUAUGCCAGGGAGGAUUCUCAUUGGUUCCUUUCCCAGUUAUAUGGAAUGUGAGUGGAGUUUGGGCCGGGAUUGGCUUCCUAAUCUCCCGCCGCAUUUCUUCUUCUGUCCGUCAUUUCCUAUAAUAAACCUGGUGCCUGAUGUA